CAGGCAUAAGCCACCAUGCCUGGCCUACUUAGCAAGUCCUUGACACACAGUAGGCACUUUAUAAAUACUGUGACUUUCAAGUCUCAAUUCAAUUUCAUUAACUGCUUCUAAUAGGAUUUUCUUUUAAAACCACAGACUUGUUUUUCCUCCUCACCUCAAAGGUUGCCUUUACUGAAUUAUUAUAAAUUCUCAUUAGAGCAUUCAAUGGCCAGAUGACUGAUUUGAAAACAUUGCAUGCAAUUUAUAGACAUUCAGCUGGCACAGGUGGUGUGUUUCCCUAAAACUUGAUUCUGAGUCUGCAUUUCAUUUGCACCUAUUUUGGGGGAUGGCACUUUGAAGUCUCCUUUCCCCUUCUGGGCUGGGUUAUUCCGAGUCUCCGUUACCUUCAGACUGAGGUGGAGUAGUUUGUCGGCCUUCACGUAUUGGAGGUAGUUUACACCUUGCAACCCUUUCUCUGUCUUGGAUUGUCACACUGACUCACCUUCAUGCUCCUGCAAAUGGAGGUGCACGUCUCUAGGAGAUGGUGAGGUCCAGACAGCAGGAAUCCUGCGGGGCUUCCUCUCUACCUUCUCCCCUUUCUCUUCGGGAGAGGGGCCCUGAAUUGAUUCUCAAGCCCAGUCUGGACGGUAAAAAAUGUCCAUUCAGGUAAGUGCUGCCUACAUGGACACUUGACCUCUGCUGUGGCUUAAAUUCUGCUUUCCAAAGCCCACACUGAAAUUUAAAGGCCAUUCAACAGUAUUAAGAGGAAGGGUUAAUGCUGUUAUCUCGGGAAAGAACUACUAAUAAAAGAAUACAUUCAGCUCCCACUUUUUCUCAGCCCCAUGGGCUCUCUUGCUUUUCUACUUUCCACCACAGGCUGGUGCAACAAGAAGGCCCUCACCAGAUGACUGAUCCAAGGCUAGCACCAUAGCACCAUACCCUUGGACUUCCCAGGCUCCAGAAUCAUGAGCCAAAUACAUUCUUAUUUAUCAAUGACCCAGUCUGUGCUGCUUCUAUAACUGCAGCACAAAAUGGACCAAGCCAGACUCUUUAGUGCUUUCUUAUUGACCUGUGUACUCUAAGACACCGGUUCCUUUAGAUGAGUGUGCUUUGAGAGUGUCCCUCACCGGCAGGGUGACCUCAUGACGUCAGUGAUGCUUUUGCUGCUGCCUGUUUUGGUGUCGCCAUCAUAGUGGAGCCUGGGGGAGAGGCAGAGGCUCUGGAGCCAUUCUGGAUUCUGCCUCAGGCUGGUGACUGGUUAAUUUCUGUGAACUUUAACCUCCUCAUUGGUCAGGUUCCCUAGGAGUAAUACGAGGGGAAAAGGAUGCCAAUUUCCAUGAAUCGCCAUUUUCCAAGGUGCCGUGCUUGACACUUCACCAACGGUUGCUUCUCCCAAGGCCUUGAGGAAAGUAACAGUCGUACCUUCAGGUGCUGAGAAAUGUUAGCAGAACCAACCCAGCAGCCAGCGCAUGCCGUGUGUGAACGUCCCUCCGAUGUGCACAUUUCUACUCACGACAGAUUUAAACAAAGAAAGAAAAGAAACACACAGGUGAUGAAGCAAGUCGUGCUCACCCAGGCUAUGUGGCAGGGCUCGGGCCUGGGUUUGACCCACAUUCAAGCCAAGAGUGUCCGAUCCUGCUGCUGCGCCGUCUCCCUCUGUCGAGUCGAAGACCGUUUACAAUACCUGAGGAGGCCAGAGGCUUUUCCUCACUCGGGGCACUCACUUCUCAGGGCCACGUCUCAGCAGCCUCCUCAAUAGCAGACCCCAUGGGAUGCACUUAUCCCAUGGCCUUGUACCCACCAUUCUUCCGUCUGAAGGUCCUGGGUGUGAGUGACUGGUUGGCAGCUGGUGGGUGGGGUUUCCAAGUGGGUGACAGCGCUCUCUGGCAGCCAGGAACACCGUGUCCACACUGACCAGGCCUGUGGAGAGUGCUCAGCCUAACCUUAGAACACAUUUGUAACUGAACGCACUGUUUUCACUUUGUAUGGAAUAGUUAAAAUAUUCUAUGAAAGUUGUGAAACGUGAACCAAAAGAAAAAACCUGGUGAGGUUAUGAAGGCUCAACUGCACCAAAAUCCUGGCCUUGAAACCAAAAUCCUGGCACUGACUCGCUUAGCAAUGUUAUGGGGGCUCUGCAAAGCUGAGAAGCCGAGUCCCAUAUGAAGAUAAAAGGUUGCGCCUGGAUGGCUUGUGUGUGGCAGACGGGGAGGCUCCUCCUAGUCACGCCUGAACCUUCGGUCUGAACUGGAGCUCCACGGAGUGACGCUGCCCUGGAAUGCGGCAAACAUCCGCCUCCCUCCUGUGGCCGGUGCAUCCUCCAGCGUGUCCUCUGCUGGAAACGCACGUUAUCUCUAGAGCUGGCAGGUGCAGGACGCUGAGGGUUGAGUGUCUCCGGGAGCACGUCAGAUGUGAGAAUGAAAAGAGAGUCAGAGAUUGCCCUAGCCCUGCCUGGCAUGGAAAAUGUGGAGCGAAAUACAUCAGUGACUCCUGCCAGGUCUGUGGGAGAGCCAUGCCAGGCGUUUGCCAUGUUUGGUAACAACCAAGGAAGAGCGGCUGUGACAAAGUCAACACUUCUCCCUCGGGUCCCUGCCCAUCCCUUUCUGGAGUCAGUGACUAACAUUUCAGGGAGCACUGAGGUUGCCAGCUGAUCUCCCUUUACAUGGGGCCAUCCCCUUUUUGAAUGAGCUUAAAGCCAGGUACUUCACGCACUGCCAUGAUGUACAACCUGUUGCCAUGGGACCCCUUUCCAGUCUCGGGAGAGGACAGUCCAUGUGCCCGGAUUCUAGAACCACGCCUACCACACCAUUACAGGGAAGACGUCUCUACGAAUCUAGCCGUGCCUUUCAGACAGGGAUAAUGUGGCCCACAGAUACCACCAGGCUCUUGUGAAUACAAUCAUGAGGUCACAGUGUGCCCAAACAGACGUGUCUCAGACAAACCGGAACCUGGGAAAUGGCCACUGACAUGGAGUCAGGAGCAACUUGCUGUCAGGGUGCAGAUUGAUUCUAGAGUCUAUGUGAAGAAGAGAAGCCCAGAUAGAAACUGGGGAACAGGCCCAGGGGAAGGUGACCACGCGAGGAGAGCAGAGAAUCCAGGACGGUGGUCAGAGGCUG